rnacentral:rRNA from 1 species
UACGUAGGGUGCGAGCGUUUAAUCGGAAUUACUGGGCGUAAAGCGCACGUAGGUGGCGACGUAAGUCGGGUGUGAAAGCCCCGGGCUCAACCUGGGAAUUGCAUUCGAGACUGCAUUGCUGGAGUACGGAAGAGGAAGGCGGAAUUCCCGGUGUAGCGGUGAAAUGCGUAGAUAUCGGGAGGAACAUCAGUGGCGAAGGCGGCCUUCUGGUCCAGUACUGACACUCAAGUGCGAAAGCGUGGGGAGCAAACAGG